rnacentral:rRNA from 1 species
UACGUAGGUGGCGAGCGUUGUCCGGAUUUAUUGGGCGUAAAGCGCGCGCAGGCGGUGCGGUAAGUCUGUCGUGAAAUCUCCCGGCUCAACUGGGAGGGUGCGGUGGAGACUGCCGGACUGGAGGCACUCAGAGGCCGGUGGAAUUCCCGGUGUAGUGGUGAAAUGCGUAGAUAUUGGGAGGAACACCAGUGGCGAAGGCGGCUCACUGGACCGGAACUGACGCUGAGGCGCGAAAGCGUGGGGAGCAAACGGG